GUAGGUGGCAAGCGUUGUCCGGAAUUAUUGGGCGUAAAGCGCGCGCAGGCGGUCCUUUAAGUCUGAUGUGAAAGCCCACGGCUCAACCGUGGAGGGUCAUUGGAAACUGGGGGACUUGAGUACAGAAGAGGAAAGCGGAAUUCCAAGUGUAGCGGUGAAAUGCGUAGAGAUUUGGAGGAACACCAGUGGCGAAGGCGGCUUUCUGGUCUGUAACUGACGCUGAGGCGCGAAAGCGUGGGGAGCAAACAGGAUUAGAUACCCUGGUAGUCCACGCCGUAAACGAUGAGUGCUAAGUGUUAGGGGGUUUCCCGCCCCCCUUAGUGCUGCCAGCUAACGCAUUAAGCACUCCGCCUGGGGAGCACGCCGCAAGGCUG
rnacentral:rRNA from 1 species